GAAAAAAUGAAUAAUUUACUUGCUCUCAUUAAAUGGAAAAGUAGUGAAUAUAUUCGCGACGCCACAAACACGAAAAGCGCGAAAUGGCGACCUUCAAUGCGCUGCAGAAUAUUCCUGUAUUCACCAUAUAAACAACUUCAGGAAUGUUACCAACUGAGGUGGAGCCAAACUUCAGAGAAUCACUAGAGAUUGAAAAUCAACUACUGCAUCAUUUUGGCUCAUUGUGCGAAAAGCAUAAGCAAAAACCAAAAAAAAAAAAAAAAGCAGAUCUGUGUGUGUGUCCCUGCUGACGUGUGGUUCAGAACGUGUGUGAGAGUUCUGGACGUGUGUCAGAACGUUCAUGACGCUGGUUCACCUCUAGAGGAGACAGCGAGAAGGUCACAGGAGUGUAUGGAGCAUGCAGACCGACCGCAUACUUCUGCUCAACUAUUGUUCAGGUUUAUGUAACUUCAGCAUGAAACCACAACACGAAACUCUAAUACAUUAAGAGAAUUCUUUAUUGACAAGUCAUUUAUUGUAAACAAUUAUGCAUAAAUAAUAUAAUAUAAAUAAUAUAUAUAUAAUAAAAAAAUUAUAAUUAUAUAAUACAGUAUAUAAAUUUGUUUAUUUUAAAUAUUAUGAAUUAUUUAUCACAAAUAUAUUUAUUCAUUAUCAUUUAUUUAUUUAUUGAUGCUCAGCUAUUGUUCAGGUUUAUGUAAUUGCAACAUGAAACUAAUGCAUAAAAAGAAUUCUUUAUUGACAAGUCAUUUCAGCACAUUGUUCCACAGCAGCUUUACAGAAAAUCAUGAUGUCAGUGUUUAUAUUAUCUUGAUUUCUUCAUGUCUUAUAGUUACAUUUAGCAGAUUAGAGCUGGACGAUUGAUAAUAUAGUUUUGUGACAAAAUAUAAAAUCAGGCAGAUUUGCUAUGUGUAUCGCGUAUGUGAAUAAAGUUGAAUGUAAUAUAACUGUGCAAAAAUAGAAUUUACAUAUUUGUGACAAUAUAAAUGUUUAUUAAUGUCAGUUAAAAACACAAUUGUUCAUUGUUUAUUUAUGUUAGUUCACCAUGAAACUAACAUUAACAGAUACAAUCUUUGAUUUUAAAAAUGUAUAAAUGUUGAAAUGAACAUGAGACGCUUUUUUGCGGAUUGUUCCUGAGAUCUCGGUGGUCGCGGAUCAAGAAAUAAAUGUAAUUUAAUGCCCAAUUUUCACCCAA